UACGUAGGGUGCGAGCGUUAAUCGGAAUUACUGGGCGUAAAGCGUGCGCAGGCGGUUCGCUAAGACAGGGGGGAAAUCCCCGGGCUUAACCUGGGAAUGGCGCUUGUGACUGGCGGGCUGGAGUACGGCAGAGGGAGGUGGAAUUCCACGUGUAGCAGUGAAAUUCGUAGAGAUGUGGAGGAACACCGAUGGCGAAGGCAGCCUCCUGGGCCAGUACCGACGCUCAUGCACGAAAGCGUGGGGAGCAAACAGG
rnacentral:rRNA from 1 species